rnacentral:rRNA from 1 species
AGAGCGAACGCUGGCGGCAGGCUUAACACAUGCAAGUCGAGCGCCGUAGCAAUACGGAGCGGCAGACGGGUGAGUAACGCGUGGGAACGUGCCUUCUGGUUCGGAAUAACUCAGGGAAACUUGAGCUAAUACCGAAUAAGCCCCUCGGGGGAAAGAUUUAUCGCCGGAAGAUCGGCCCGCGUAAGAUUAGCUUGUUGGUGAGGUAAUGGCUCACCAAGGCUACGAUCUUUAGCUGGUCUGAGAGGAUGAUCAGCCACACUGGGACUGAGACACGGCCCAGACUCCUACGGGAGCAGCAGUGGGGAAUAUUGGACAAUGGGCGCAAGCCUGAUCCAGCCAUGCCGCGUGAGUGAUGAAGCCUUAGGUUGUAAAGCUCUUUAGCGGGACGAUAAUGACGUACCGACAAGAAAAACGCCCCGACCAACUUCGUGCCGAGCACGCCGAC